rnacentral:rRNA from 1 species
CCUACGUGAGGCAGCAGUGGGGAAUAUUGCGCAAUGGGCGAAAGCCUGACGCAGCGACGCCGCGUGAGGGCUGCAGGUCUUCGGAUCGUAAACCUCUGUCAGCAGGGAAGAACGGUCACUGUGCUAAUCAGCAGUGAAUUGACGGUACCUGCAAAGGAAGCACCGGCUAACUCCGUGCCAGCAGCCGAGGUAAUAAGGAGGGUGCGAGCGUUAAUCGGAAUUACUGGGCGUAAAGCGCUCGUAGGCGGUAUGUCAAGUCAAGGGUGAAAUCCCCGCGCUCAACGUGGGAACUGCCUUUGAAACUGGCAAACUGGAGUGUGUGAGAGGAUAGUGGAAUUCCAGGUGUAGGAGUGAAAUCCGGAGAUAUCUGGAGGAACAUCAGUGGCGAAGGCGACUAUCUGGCACAUAACUGACGCUGAGGAGCGAAAGCGUGGGUAGCAAACAGGAUUAGAUACCCCAGUAGUC